rnacentral:rRNA from 1 species
CCUACGGGUGGCAGCAGUGAGGAAUAUUGGUCAAUGGGCGCGAGCCUGAACCAGCCAAGUAGCGUGAAGGAUGACUGCCCUACGGGUUGUAAACUUCUUUUAUCAAGGAAUAAAGUGAGGCACGUGUGCCUUUUUGUAUGUAAUUUAUGAAUAAGGAUCGGCUAACUCCGUGCCAGCAACCGCGGUAAUACGGAGGAUCCGGGGGUUAUCCGGAUUUUUUGUGUUUAAAGGGAGGGUAAAUGGGUUGUUAAAUCAGUUGUGAAAGUUUGCGGCUCAACCGUAAAAUUGCAAUUGAUACUGGCAGUCUUGAGUACAGUUGAGGUAGGCGGAAUUCGUGGUGUAGCGGUGAAAUGCAUAGAUAUCACGAAGAACUCCGAUUGCGAAGGCAGCUUACUAAACUGCCACUGACAUUGAUGCUCGAAAGUGUGGGUAUCAAACAGGAUUAGAUACCCGUGUAGUC